GAUGAACGCUGGCGGCGUGCCUAAUACAUGCAAGUAGAACGCUGAAGGAGGAGCUUGCUCUUCUGGAUGAGUUGCGAACGGGUGAGUAACGCGUAGGUAACCUGCCUGGUAGCGGGGGAUAACUAUUGGAAACGAUAGCUAAUACCGCAUGACAACAGUUAUUGCAUGAUAACUGUUUAAAAGGGGCAACUGCUCCACUACCAGAUGGACCUGCGUUGUAUUAGCUAGUUGGUGAGGUAACGGCUCACCAAGGCGACGAUACAUAGCCGACCUGAGAGGGUGAUCGGCCACACUGGGACUGAGACACGGCCCAGACUCCUACGGGAGGCAGCAGUAGGGAAUCUUCGGCAAUGGACGGAAGUCUGACCGAGCAACGCCGCGUGAGUGAAGAAGGUUUUCGGAUCGUAUAGCUCUGUUGUAAGAGAAGAACGAGUGUGAGAGUGGAAAGUUCACACUGUGACGGUAUCUUACCAGAAAGGGACGGCUAACUACGUG
rnacentral:rRNA from 1 species